GGCCCAUGGGAGCCAGCCAGGGUCUCUGCCAUGAGGUGACUCAUUCCCCCAAGAAGCAACUCAGGGACACGCCCCCAGCAGGGAAGCCAGCACAGCGUGAACAAACACGGAAAAGGCACUUACAGAACCAAGGUGCCAGAAGCUGGGGGGAUCCACACCUCCCUUUACACGCAAGGAAACCUCGGCCGGGUUACAGAGCAGAGUGGGCCCAGCCCCUCCCAUCUCACCGCCAUGGGCCCUGAACCAGAGCCUAGGAGGCUGCCCGGAGCUCCGUCUCAGGAGACCUGGUGAGGAAACUGAGGCCCAGAAAGAGGGGUGAGGGCCUGACCAGUCAAAGCAAGGCGGAGGCUGGCACCGCCCAUGAGCUCGUCCCGCAAAGCCAGCCCCCAACCUCCCUGAGGCUUCCCACUCUGGGCUCUCCCACAGGAAGCAGGAUGGGGCAGGCAGCACCAGAGGGCAGGAUGGCUCGCCCCACCCCCCAUCCCUCCUGGAAGUCUUGGGGCCUCAGUGCCUGCAACAGCU